rnacentral:rRNA from 1 species
GCUGCGAUAAGCCUAGAUAAGUUGCAAACGAACGUAAGAGUCUAGGAUUUCCGAAUGGAGCAAUCUAUUAAGAUGAAGUCUUAAUACGAAAGAGGGAACCGCGUGAACUGAAACAUCUAAGUAACGCGAGGAAAAGAAAGUAAAAACGAUACCCAAAGUAGCGGCGAGCGAAAUGGGUCAAGCCUAAACCUUAAAUAUGUCAAGGAUACAGCCGUUGUAUUUAGGGGGUUGAGGGACAGAGUAGUGAAGAACUGUAAGAUAUUCAAUAUAGUGUAUUGAUGAAUUGGAAUUGUCUGGAAAGGCGAACCGUAGAAGGUGAAAGUCCUGUACAAGUAAAUCCUUACACAUAUAACUCUGCUCCCAAGUAACAUGGAACACGAGGAAUUCUGUGUGAAUCUGUGAGGACCAUAUCUCAUAAGGCUAAAUACUCUUACUAACCGAUAGCGCAUAGUACCGUGAGGGAAAGGUGAAAAGAACCCCUGGAGGGGAGUGAAAUAGAA